GGUAGUGGGGGACGAACGUUUCGAAAGGAAACGCUAAUACCGCAUACGUCCUACGGGAGAAAGCAGGGACCUUCGGGCCUUGCGCUAUCAGAUGAGCCUAGGUCGGAUUAGCUAGUUGGUGAGGUAAUGGCUCACCAAGGCGACGAUCCGUAACUGGUCUGAGAGGAUGAUCAGUCACACUGGAACUGAGACACGGUCCAGACUCCUACGGGAGGCAGCAGUA
rnacentral:rRNA from 1 species